UACGGGGGGGGCAAGCGUUGUUCGGAAUUACUGGGCGUAAAGGGCGCGUAGGCGGCCUACUAAGUCAGACGUGAAAUCCCUCGGCUUAACCGGGGAACUGCGUCUGAUACUGGAUGGCUUGAAUCCGGGAGAGGGAUGCGGAAUUCCAGGUGUAGCGGUGAAAUGCGUAGAUAUCUGGAGGAACACCGGUGGCGAAGGCGGCAUCCUGGACCGGCAUUGACGCUGAGGAGCGAAAGCCAGGGGAGCAAACGGG
rnacentral:rRNA from 1 species